AGUGAACGCUGGCGGUAGGCCUAACACAUGCAAGUCGAACGGCAGCACAGUAAGAGCUUGCUCUUACGGGUGGCGAGUGGCGGACGGGUGAGGAAUACAUCGUAAUCUACUUUUUCGUGGGGGAUAACGUAGGGAAACUUACGCUAAUACCGCAUACGACCUACGGGUGAAAGCAGGGGAUCUUCGGACCUUGCGCGAUUGAAUGAGCCGAUGUCGGGUUAGCUAGUUGGCGGGGUAAAGGCCCACCAAGGCGACGAUCCGUAGCUGGUCUGAGAGGAUGAUCAGCCACACUGGAACUGAGACACGGUCCAGACUCCUACGGGAGGCAGCAGUGGGGAAUAUUGGACAAUGGGCGCAAGCCUGAUCCAGCCAUACCGCGUGGGUGAAGAAGGCCUUCGGGUUGUAAAGCCCUUUUGUUGGGAAAGAAAAGCAGCAGGUUAAUACCCCGCUGUUCUGACGGUACCCAAAGAAUAAGCACCGGCUAACUUCGUG
rnacentral:rRNA from 1 species